rnacentral:lncRNA from 1 species
AUACAUGCAGCAGGCACUAAACCCUCUUCUGGAGUCAGCAAGUGCUGGAUGGACAACUGGUCAACCUCAGAAUAGCAUCUCAUCCUAAACAACAUGUGUCAGAGUUCAGAGCCCAGGACCGAAGCUGUGCUCUCUCAGCAAAGGCCUGUUUUCUCUGUGUGUAAGCUGUUACCUUGUGGUAUAAUGUUAACACAAGACUCUCCAUUUCCUCUGUCACUCUUGCUGUCCCCAACUGGUGGUGCUGCAGAUACCUCCCCAGAGAGGAUCACCCCACAUGGUUUGUGUUUAUGUCUUAGGUGGAAUUCUCAAGAGUCGAACCCUGAAAUAGGACUUGGGUGUAAAUAAUUUAUUGAGGAAGUCUUCCCAGAAGGUAACAGUGAGGAAGUUGAGAAUACAAGACAGGAGAGUACAGGGAGCCAGGCAACAGUGUCCUUUCAGGGGACAACCCACGAGGUGGCUUCAAACCAGUUGGAUCUAAUGAGCAAGUCAGACUCAGGAACCUGGACUUUUGUGAUGCCACGCCUGCAGGGGAUAUAAACUUUCUGCCCUUAGGUCUUGCUGACAAGAUGACUCUGUCCUCUAGAGGAGAACUUUGGGGGGCACCCUCAAGUAAGGAGAUCCACAAAUCAUGCAAAGAACUCUGAGCCAAGAGCUUUAGUGCUCCCCUCCCCCACACAAGUGAAUGCUACCUUCAGCUUUGUGUAGCCAAAAAAGCCAUGAGUCUAAGCUGGUCCUAGGAGUCAAACAUUACAUCUGACCCAUGACCAAGUCAAACUCACUACAAGGAAGGGGCAGCCCCCCCAAAAAAAAAAACAGUGCACACCCAGCUCUUUUAAGUUUUAUC